UACGGAGGGUGCAAGCGUUAUCCGGAUUUACUGGGUUUAAAGGGUCCGUAGGCGGUUUAGUAAGUCAGUGGUGAAAGCCCAUCGCUCAACGGUGGAACGGCCAUUGAUACUGCUAGACUUGAAUUAUUAGGAAGUAACUAGAAUAUGUAGUGUAGCGGUGAAAUGCUUAGAUAUUACAUGGAAUACCAAUUGCGAAGGCAGGUUACUACUAAUAUAUUGACGUGAUGGACGAAAAGCGUGGGUAGCGAACAGG
rnacentral:rRNA from 1 species